UCGGCCUCCCAAAGUGCUGGGAUUACAGGCUUGAGCCACCGCGCCCGGCCCUACAGCUCAUUUUUAUGUCUGUUCCUCCUCUUCCUGCUGAGCGUUCACCACCUCAGGUGACAAACUGACUUCAUAGGAACCCACCCCUUAAAGCAGCCUCUUUGUUUCUGUAUUGCGGGAUCUUAAAUUAUGUUUGUCUCUCAAGAGACAAAAUGUUAAGUUCCCACGAUGCGUUAGAGGCACCUCCAUUUGAGUGCAGCGUAUUGGCCAAGAGUUGCCUCCUUGGUCCCAUGUUGCCCAUAUGCGCUGGAAAUGGCUGGAUAACACGGGCAGCCAGGCCGGGCGCAGUGGCUCACACUUGUAAUCCUAGCACUUUAGGAGGCCAAAGUGAAGGAAUCACUUGAGGCCAGGAGUUCAAAACCAGCUUCGGCAACAUAGUAAGACCCGUCUCUAAAAAAGCAAGAGAGAGAGAGAGAAAAUCCGGCCUGGGGGAGCAGCAGAGCCGGUGUAGCUCAAACCCUUUCCUGUAGAUGCCUGGCUGCGCUGGGUGUUGGCUGGGGUGCUGUGUGCUGGUGGCUGGGCAGUGAACUACCUCCCGUUCUUCCUGAUGGAGAAGACACUCUUCCUCUACCACUACCUGCCCGCACUCACCUUCCAGAUUCUUCUGCUCCCUGUGGUCCUGCAGCACAUCAGCGACCACCUGUGCAGGUCCCAGCUCCAGAGGAGCGUCUUCAGCGCCCUGGUGGUGGCCUGGUACUCCUCCGCAUGCCACGUGUCCAACACGCUGCGCCCACUCACCUACGGGGACAAGUCACUCUCGCCACAUGAACUCAAGGCCCUUCGCUGGAAAGACAGCUGGGACAUCUUGAUCCGAAAACACUAGAACAAGAGCGUGGCAAAGAACACCCGAGCUGGGGUCGGGACAAGGUCGAAGGUCUUGGUCAGUGUACUUAACGAGCAGGGUGGGCCCUGCGCUGGGAGGACACAGGCCGGGCUCAGCAGGGCCUCUACUGGAACACGUGGGGGGUCUCAUUCUUGAAAAGCCCUCUGAUGAGCACCUCCUUUUGUGCAAAGUUCAUUUUUUCUUAACGGAGUUCCCUCCGUGUCUUCACCCCUGAGCUAAGUAAGACACGGAGUAUUUCAAUGGCCAGUGUAGGAGUCAUUGAUGAAGAAAAGCCGAGAAUCCAAGGCCAGCAGUGGAGCAAGUGGCCUCAGCAGACCGGGGCCUGGUCCUUGCUAACCGCUGCAGGGUGGAGUUUGAUCUGGCAGACCCAAUCCUCCAUGAACACCCAGCAACCUGAGCAAGUCCCAGCCCUGCCCUGAGUGAGCCCGGCAGGCGUCCCGGGACAGGCGUCCAGGAGGGCCGCCUGAACAAUGAUCCGGGGCUGGGGCUUGCGAGUCAUUCUCUGUGACAGCAUCAAGACUGGCCCUCCGCACCAUGCUGUGUGGAAACCCUCCUGAGACUGCCGAGACGGGGCUGAGUGAAAUCUUCGUCAGUGGUCAAGGAGACAGCUGGCUAUGCUAACGACUAGAUUCACUGGGCCAAGCUAUGUGUGGCACGUCUACAAAGUGUGACAUUGUUCCUCUGGAAUUGUGAAGCUUCUGCAAUACCCUGGCACAGCAACAGGACAGAUGCCACCACGCAUUAUUGCUGCAGGCAGACACCGAUGGUACCUUACUCCCUCAUCCAUCCACUCAUUGGUUCAAUGCUGACUGAUUCUCAUCCCCUGUCAGAUGCUCUGCUGCUGAGGAAGGACAAGAACAGAGAUAUACCAGGAAAUGCAGGGCUGCUGGGGAGGGCCUGCAGCCAGAUG